UUAUUCGAGAGUUUGAUCCUGGCUCAGGAUGAACGCUGGCGGCGUGCCUAACACAUGCCAGUCGAGCGGAGUAUGGAGGAAGUGCUUGCACGGAGACCAUACUUAGCGGCGGACGGGUGAGUAACA
rnacentral:rRNA from 1 species